rnacentral:rRNA from 1 species
GUAAAACGACCGGCCAGUGAAUUGUAAUACGACUCACUAUAGGGCGAAUUGGGCCCUCUAGAUGCAUGCUCGAGCGGCCGCCAGUGUGAUGGAUAUCUGCAGAAUUCGCCCUUCAGGCCUAACACAUGCAAGUCGAACGCCCUCUUCGGAGGGAGUGGCAGACGGGUGAGUAACACGUGGGAACGUGCCCGAAGGUACGGAACAACUCCGGGAAACUGGAGCUAAUACCGUAUGUGUCCGCAAGGAGAAAGAUUUAUCGCCUUCGGAUCGGCCCGCGUCAGAUUAGCUAGUUGGUGGGGUAAAAGCCUACCAAGGCGACGAUCUGUAGCUGUUCUUAGAGGAAGACCAGCCACACUGGGACUGAGACACGGCCCAGACUCCUACGGGAGGCAGCAGUGGGGAAUCUUGGACAAUGGGCGCAAGCCUGAUCCAGCCAUGCCGCGUGGAUGACGAAGGCCUUAGGGUUGUAAAAUCC